CGAGUGAAUGGUGCCAUUGCUCUCAGUUUACAACGUUGAACAACACUAUGAAUUUGACUCAUAUCUGGUUGAUAGCCCUUUGUUUUGGCGUUGCCAAACCCGAUAUCAAAAUGGUGGCACCUUAUGAACCUGGAAACGCUGGAGCUGAGCCUUGUCUCAGACUUUGUGUCGGAACUACAGGAAAGGGAACUACUACCUGGGAGAAGUAUUAUCACGAUGGUCUGCGUGUAGAUGUUGAUAUGACGUCAUGUGACUUCAGAACUGACAUUACACCGAUUGUAACAUCAGCGUUGAGUGGGGAGGGGAACCACUGGCUUGCCAGUGGGGGCUCUAACCCCUACUAUCUUACGGCUGAGAAGUUCAGGAUUUACGUCUUUUACGAUAUCAAAUAUGGAAAUAUACACGAUAUUUAUGGGCCCAAAAAGUGGAGAAUAGACUGGCAAGCUGUUGGAUAUACCUGCUAAAGAAAUUUGGGAUUCAACUAGUCGGGAAACAACAACGAGUCAUCUUAAUUCUGUAAUGGCAUUAUGACAUUUUCGUUCAGGCUCAA